GGUGGUGCAUGGCCGUUCUUAGUUGGUGGAGCGAUUUGUCUGGUUAAUUCCGAUAACGAACGAGACUCUGGCAUGCUAACUAGUUACGCGACCCCCGAGCGGUCCGCGUCCCCCAACUUCUUAGAGGGACAAGUGGCGUUCAGCCACCCGAGAUUGAGCAAUAACAGGUCUGUGAUGCCCUUAGAUGUCCGGGGCUGCACGCGCGCUACACUGACUGGCUCAGCGUGUGCCUACCCUACGCCGGCAGGCGCGGGUAACCCGUUGAACCCCAUUCGUGAUGGGGAUCGGGGAUUGCAAUUAUUCCCCAUGAACGAGGAAUUCCCAGUAAGUGCGGGUCAUAAG
rnacentral:rRNA from 1 species